AUAAUAAUACCUAUAAUAAUCAUGAAUAACACCAACACCUAUGUAAACCUUAUAAAUUACAACUUUAUCACAGAAAAUGCAACAAUUUAUAAAACACUUCAACAGUUCAAAACUAAUUUAACUUUUAUUAUACUAAUUUAUUGUCGUAGAUUGUGAGUCAUAUUACAUCUGUGUAUGAAUCUUAAUGAUUAUACCUUCUUGGGCUAAUCGUUCUUUUUGACAUUGUUCCCAAUUAUGUGUGUCAUAUUCAUUAGUAGUGUACAACACAUUGAUGGUGGAUAUCGAUUGAUUGUUGCAUCUAACCGAGAUGAAUAUUAUAAUCGUCAGACGUUGCCAGCAAACUAUUGGGCAGAGGACCAGGACGUCAUUGGAGGACGUGAUUUGACGACAUCAAAUGAGGGUGGCACUUGGUUGGCUCUUAACAUCCGUGGUAAGUUUGCUGCCCUAUUAAAUGUGUUUGAACUAGAUGAAAUACCAAACGCUAAAUCAAGAGGCCAACUGGUUAAGAACUUUGUGAAAGGCAAUUCUUCAGCCCUAGAAUAUUUGCAAGAAUUGCAAGGAUCGCAAAAUGUAUAUAAUGGAUUUAAACUGAUCACUAUUACCAUGAGCAAAUUAUCUUUAGAAACACAUUUCUUUACCAAUUUUGUACAAGAUGAAGGACCACCUCUGAAACACCUACAAAAAUAUGUACAAGGAUUUGGAAAUGGACCUUUUUUAAAAGUGGCAGAGGGAGAGAAACGUUUUAAUGACAUUGUUAAGAAAUAUGGACAUAGUCAUUAUAGAGAUACAUUGAUCAAAGAACUGCUAGGAGUUUUGAAAUGGGAUAAACUAAUUCAUUCUGCAUUUCUCAAAUUUCUAAUAAUUUGUCGAAGAAAAAUGUUGGUUUCAAUGUUUUGAUGCGAAUGCGCAUACCUGAUUCUCGUGAAAAACAUGGUCAAUGCCAAUUGUAUAUAAUUUUGCUAUACACGACUUGAUGAUGCAUUUCCAUCCAAUAGCCCAGAUUUAAACUAAGUAUAAUUUGAACAUUAUCCUGAUGAAGAGUUAAUCAAACGAACUCCAAAAUUCCCUGGAACUGAUAACCAGAAGAAAUUUAGUUCAGUUUUUGUAGAAAUGCCAACUCGACAAUACGG
rnacentral:misc_RNA from 1 species